GAGGGUAUAGCUCAGUGGUACAGCACAUGCUUAGCAUGCAUGAGACCCUGGGAUGGAUUCCCCGGUACCUCCA
rnacentral:tRNA from 1 species